GGAAAAGAAGCCUUCACUCCUUUGAAGUAAAGAAAUGCAAAGCAAGCAUAUAGCCUAAAAGCAUCACAGAGACUCCCAAGCAGAUGGCAGAAGUAUUCCAGAAGAGGUCUUAUACUGUUGACCAGGAAUGCUUAUUGUAGUUCUUUACAUAAUAUGACAAGUAUGCAGUAUAGCAUCGUUACAGAAAGUAAGUGCCCUGUGUAAGGGACUGUUAUUUUUUAAGGGACUGUUAUUUUUCAAGGGACUGUGUGUUUCCACUGUUGUAGAAGAAGAACAGAGAUGGGAAUUGCCACAGGAUAUUUCCAAGAUUCUGAAAGCUACUCCACUGCUUCUAUCAAGAUCUUUAACCAUAAUAAUUCAAAGUUGUUCUCUCUGUGCUUCAGUUAAUAGUGUUCUGUGAUCUGAUGACUGUAUUUCAAAAGAAAACAAUGGAACUCAUAC